UACGUAGGGCGCGAGCGUUGUCCGGAUUUAUUGGGCGUAAAGAGCUCGUAGGCGGUUUGUUGCGUCGGCUGUGAAAUCCCGAGGCUCAACCUCGGGUCUGCAGUCGAUACGAGCAAACUAGAGUGUGGUAGGGGAGAUCGGAAUUCCUGGUGUAGCGGUGAAAUGCGCAGAUAUCAGGAGGAACACCGGUGGCGAAGGCGGAUCUCUGGGCCAUUACUGACGCUGAGGAGCGAAAGCGUGGGGAGCGAACAGG
rnacentral:rRNA from 1 species